rnacentral:rRNA from 1 species
AACGAACGCUGGCGGCGUGCCUAACACAUGCAAGUCGAACGAGAAAGGGGCUUCGGCUCCGAGUAAAGUGGCGCACGGGUGAGUAACACGUGGGUAACCUGCCUCUAAGAUUGGGAUAACUCGUCGAAAGAUGAGCUAAUACCGAAUAAGACCACAGUUCCCGCGGGAACAGGGGUCAAAGGUAGCCUCUGCUUGCAAGCUAUCACUUAGAGAUGGGCCUGCGCACCAUUAGCUAGUUGGUAGGGUAACGGCCUACCAAGGCAAAGAUGGUUAGCUGGUCUGAGAGGAUGAUCAGCCACACUGGAACUGGGACACGGUCCAGACUCCUACGGGAGGCAGCAGUGGGGAAUAUUGCGCAAUGGGCGAAAGCUUGACGCAGCAACGCCGCGUGAGGGAUGAAGGCCUUCGGGUCGUAAAGCUCUGUCGGGAGGAACGAAUGCUCCUGAGGUUAACAGCCUCGGGAGGUGACGGUACCUUCAAAGGAAGCACCGGCUAACUCUGUG